rnacentral:rRNA from 1 species
AAGAUGAGUGGCGAACGGGUGAGUAAUACAUAGGUAACCUGUCCCUGUGCGGGGGAUAACAGGAGGAAACUCCUGCUAAUACCGCAUAGCCAUGAGCACCGCAUGGAGCUCAUGCCAAAUAUCCUUCAGGGGAUAGCGCAGGGAUGGACCUAUGGCGCAUUAGCUAGUUGGCGGGGCAACGGCCCACCAAGGCAACGAUGCGUAGCCGGCCUGAGAGGGCGGACGGCCACAUUGGGACUGAGACACGGCCCAGACUCCUACGGGAGGCAGCAGUAGGGAAUUUUCGGCAAUGGGGGAAACCCUGACCGAGCAACGCCGCGUGAGCGAAGAAGGCCUUCGGGUCGUAAAGCUCUGUUGUAAAGGAAGAACGUCGCAUGCAGGAAAUGGUGUGCGAGUGACGGUACUUUACCAGAAAGCCACGGCUAACUACGUGCCAGCAGCCGCGGUAAUACGUAGGUGGCGAGCGUUAUCCGGAAUCAUUGGGCGUAAAGAGGGAGCAGGCGGCCGCAAGGGUCUGUGGUGAAAGACCGAAGCUAAACUUCGGUAAGCCAUGGAAACCGGGCGGCUAGAGUGCGGAAGAGGAUCGUGGAAUUCCAUGUGUAGCGGUGAAAUGCGUAGAUAUAUGGAGGAACACCAGU